rnacentral:rRNA from 1 species
AGCCUUCGGGGGACGAUAACGGCGUCGAGCGGCGGACGGGUGAGUAAUGCCUAGGAAAUUGCCCUGAUGUGGGGGAUAACCAUUGGAAACGAUGGCUAAUACCGCAUAAUGCCUACGGGCCAAAGAGGGGGACCUUCGGGCCUCUCGCGUCAGGAUAUGCCUAGGUGGGAUUAGCUAGUUGGUGAGGUAAGGGCUCACCAAGGCAACGAUCCCUAGCUGGUCUGAGAGGAUGAUCAGCCACACUGGAACUGAGACACGGUCCAGACUCCUACGGGAGGCAGCAGUGGGGAAUAUUGCACAAUGGGCGCAAGCCUGAUGCAGCCAUGCCGCGUGUGUGAAGAAGGCCUUCGGGUUGUAAAGCACUUUCAGUCGUGAGGAAGGUAGUGUAGUUAAUAGCUGCAUUAUUUGACGUUAGCGACAGAAGAAGCACCGGCUAACUCCGUGCCAGCAGCCGCGGUAAUACGGAGGGUGCGAGCGUUAAUCGGAAUUACUGGGCGUAAAGCGCAUGCAGGUGGUUUGUUAAGUCAGAUGUGAAAGCCCGGGGCUCAACCUCGGAAUAGCAUUUGAAACUGGCAGACUAGAGUACUGUAGAGGGGGGUAGAAUUUCAGGUGUAGCGGUGAAAUGCGUAGAGAUCUGAAGGAAUACCGGUGGCGAAGGCGGCCCCCUGGACAGAUACUGACACUCAGAUGCGAAAGCGUGGGGAGCAAACAGGAUUAGAUACCCUGGUAGUCCACGCCGUAAACGAUGUCUACUUGGAGGUUGUGGCCUUGAGCCGUGGCUUUCGGAGCUAACGCGUUAAGUAGACCGCCUGGGGAGUACGGUCGCAAGAUUAAAACUCAAAUGAAUUGACGGGGGCCCGCACAAGCGGUGGAGCAUGUGGUUUAAUUCGAUGCAACGCGAAGAACCUUACCUACUCUUGACAUCCAGAGAACUUUCCAGAGAUGGAUUGGUGCCUUCGGGAACUCUGAGACAGGUGCUGCAUGGCUGUCGUCAGCUCGUGUUGUGAAAUGUUGGGUUAAGUCCCGCAACGAGCGCAACCCUUAUCCUUGUUUGCCAGCGAGUAAUGUCGGGAACUCCAGGGAGACUGCCGGUGAUAAACCGGAGGAAGGUGGGGACGACGUCAAGUCAUCAUGGCCCUUACGAGUAGGGCUACACACGUGCUACAAUGGCGCAUACAGAGGGCGGCCAACUUGCGAAAGUGAGCGAAUCCCAAAAAGUGCGUCGUAGUCCGGAUUGGAGUCUGCAACUCGACUCCAUGAAGUCGGAAUCGCUAGUAAUCGUGGAUCAGAAUGCCACGGUGAAUACGUUCCCGGGCCUUGUACACACCGCCCGUCACACCAUGGGAGUGGGCUGCAAAAGAAGUAGGUAGUUUAAC